UCUGGUACAAAUUAAGCCCUGAACCUGCAGUCCAAGACUGGUUACUCACUGAAGCUAAGCAGGGCUGCGCCUGGUCCGUAUCUGGAUGGAGACCACAUGAGGAAACUAGGUUGCUUUUGGAA
rnacentral:rRNA from 1 species